rnacentral:lncRNA from 1 species
UAAAAGAUAAACCUAAUCCAUCUCUAUACAACAAAUGAGUAAGAAAAGAUGGUGGUGAAGACCACCAUUGAGAGGAAUUCAUGGCAAGACCUUGACCAUUCUUUGCCAAUGUAUCAGCAACCAUGUUUCCUUCUCUAAGAACAUGAGUAAAGGAACACCUAAUUUGUAGGGGUGGGCAAAAAAACCAAAAAUUGAACUGAACUGCUAUUGAACAGAACUACUAUGUAAAAAUUACGAACUGAUCCAUACUUAAAGAGCAGUUAUUAACUGAACUGAACCUUUUUGAUAAAAAAAUCAAAACUAAACUUGAACCAGAAACGUUGAUUUGUUCACUGUGUUUCCUUUGUUGAGUUCUUUUACUGUGUUUGUUUGCUAAUUUGCUCACUGUCUUUGCUAGUUUGUUUGCCAAAUUGAACCAAAAUUGCUUUUGGAACUUCUCAUUCUUCCCUGAAGUCUUACAAUAUCGUUGUAUACUGACUCAAAUAAACAUGCUUACAGGGAAUCUAAGAAUGAGUGAAGGAGGUGGAUCUCUAUUAUUUUU